AAAGGAAUUGACGGGGACCCGCACAAGCAGCGGAGCGUGUGGUUUAAUUCGAUGCGACGCGAAGAACCUUACCUGGGUUUGACAUGCUUCUGGUAGCGAGCGGAAACGUAAGCGACCCGCAAGGGAGGAAGCACAGGUGCUGCAUGGCUGUCGUCAGCUCGUGUCGUGAGAUGUUGGGUUAAGUCCCGCAACGAGCGCAACCCUCGGCGUAUGUUUUACGUGUCAUACGCAACUGCCCGCCAUAAGCGGGAGGAAGGUGGGGAUGACGUCAAGUCAGCAUGGCCUUUAUAUCCAGGGCGACACACACGCUACAAUGGCGCGUACAAUGGGCGGCGAGUGGGCGACCACAAGCAAAUCUCACAAAGCGCGUCUUAGUUCGGAUUGGAGUCUGCAACUCGACUCCAUGAAGGCGGAGUUGCUAGUAACCGCGCGUCAGCCAUAGUGCGGUGAAUGCGUUCCCGGGUCUUGUACACACCGCCCGU
rnacentral:rRNA from 1 species